rnacentral:lncRNA from 1 species
GUUAAGUGAUUUGCCUGAAUCGAACUAGAACCCAGGUCCUCUGACUCCCCGGCCCGUGCUCUUUCCGCUAGGCCAGACAGGAACCGUGUAUAUCAACUAUGUCGUACGCUCCCCAGCACUGGGUACAGUGCUCUGCACCGAGGAAACUGUCAAUAGAUACCACCGGUUGAAUGAAGCCGUUCCCUGCAUUCCUCGUAUAACUAAUCCGUGACCCAAGAUGAUGUCCGGCGUAGCCCGCUGUGGUCUGAAGCCUCUUGCGAUCCUGGGAAGGCCCGGUUUCCCCAGGUUCUUCAUCGGUGGAUCGUGGUAGAAUAGGAAUUUCCUAUUCUAACUCAGGUGCAGAAGCAGGUGAAAGCAGAUGCUCCAGCAACCUGAAAUCACCUAUGUCUCUUCCUGUCACCUUCUCCGCACACAAGGGACUCUUCUGGUGAACUGCCCCUCCGACCUCCGAAGGGGAUGAAAGAAACCAAAGCUGCCGGACUCUAAAAGCUGGCGAUUAGCCUCACCCUACGCUCUCUGGUUUAAUGUUACAUAGAGCACAAAUGAGUCAGUUUUUAGGAACUGACUGAACUAUGAGAGAACAGAGAUCUGUUAGGGGAUUUUUCAACAGAAAGACAUAGAAACGAAGUUGCUCUCUAUGCCCUGAACUGCAUUUGAAAUGCCUGGUUGCCACCAAGGAUAAAUGGUUCUUUCUAACCAACGAUUCCUUUGUUGACAUUUUGAUUUUUAUGUACCAGAUGGCGUGCAGGGAGAUUGGCAACUAGAGUGCUAAUGGCCCAGCUGGGGUAUAGUCUUGCCAUCAAAAUGGAACUGGGUAACAUAGGGAAAUGCAGAGUGAACCAACUAAUGAGUAUAUUUCGCUUUUCAGUUUAGGAAGGAAGAUGCCAGCUAUUUUUUCUUUUCCAAAGUUUACUGCAGAGAUGAAGGAAGAUCCAGGAGCCUUGCCAAACUAGAUUACUAAACUGGUACGCAUACCGGCCUGGAGCUGUGGAGGCUCUCAGUUGGCACACUUGUGUGUGGCGCAUGGCCCCGUUCUGGACAGCAAUUCCUUCCCAGCCUGGCGAUCAGACGGAUACCUUCGGUCUCUCCCCGCCUGCCUGUCUAGGCCCGGAGGAGGUGGAAUAAGUGGCUCUACCUCAGGUUCGCCUCCCGUCUUCAAAUGCAAAGUCGUCAUCUUGUUGCUGGCUUCCCUUCAUACCUGCGGCACAAACCGCUGCCAAGUUUGAGUAGAAACUGCCCACCCCCGAUCCAGGCAAGGCCG